GUCUGAAGUUGCCCCCUGCAAGCCAUUCAGCAACUCCGGCAGAGAAGUUCACAUCUGAAGACUUUGCCAACUGUAACUCAGAAGCUAAGUGCUCUCUGGGAUGCUGGCCAGCUAACCUGAGCUCAGGAGACUGGGUCCAGGUAACCCUCACUGCAAACUUCUCUCAUGCACCAAGAAAAACCAGAGUCAACAAGUAGAGGAUACAAGAUGCUUCCUGUCUUGGACUUCGCUCAGGCCUCAGAGGAUCCAACACAGCUUUCGCUACAGUUCUCACUGCCCCUCCCGACCAAAACACAGCCUCUCACACCCAUGGCAGACAGCCCCUCUCCUGGGGACAGAAGGCUGUACCAACUCUGCUCUUCUUCAAAUGUCGCAGCCCUUAAUCCCACCCAGCAACAGACUCUGGCUCUCCGCACAGAGUGUGACAACAGUGACCCUGGUGUUUGGAAGGAAGCCCAGGAGGAGAUAGCCCCAGGAGAUGUGAGAUAUCGUCUGGAGCCCCUCACCAGGGCACCACUCCAGAUGCAAAACCCAAGAUACUCCAGCCAGUACUUCAAGACUCAGUGGCUCCCCUUCAGUACAACCUGUGGAGAGUGUUUCCAGCCCAGGAAGGCACAGCCUCUGACGAACAAUAGGAAGAAGCCCUCCCAUUCAGGAGGAUACAACAUGAACACUGCUCAUCAGACUUCCUUCCAAAGUCCUGUUCUUGGUCAGUUGAUACUUCCAAGUCACAUACAGGGCAGAAAAGUAGCACCAGUAGUGCACCUGGGUCAUGUGGCAUGUGUCAGCCAGUAUCUGAACAACUUCCAAACCCCAGCAUGGAGUCAAGUCCCCCAGCCAGGGCAUCAGUGCUGUCUACCUCUUCUCAAUCCCCUCGGAGAAAGAGUCAAGGGUAAGUGCCACUCUAACACAUCCACCAACUUCCAAACAGAAACCGCGAGGAAGCCGUUCUCCCAGGCCUGGGGUGCUCAGCCCCUCAGGCACUGUGGACUUCACUCCAGACCCAAAGAGAAGCCCCUGAUGGGCUCACAGGCACCACUCGAGGACCAAACCACCAGGACUACCUACCUGCCCUUGUUUUCUGAAAAGGUGAAACUGUGUAAACCCAAGGUCGGUGACAUGAGGUUUAACACAAGCAACUUCUCAACUGAGCACAGGAACCCAUUCAGGUACAAAGGGGAGAGUGAGUCACUCCUUGCAUGGCAACUCAAUGCGUGUGUGGCAAAGAAAGCCCAGGUCAUAAGGGAGAUGUGGCUCACUCUAGCUCGGCCCCAUAAUCUCUCUGCUUAAUUUCAUAGGCCAGCUCCAGAAUGUGGGCCUCAAAAAAAGAACAUCGGGAGAGAGAGACUGCUCAACUAACUUCUGUAAAGAUACAGU
ensembl:lincRNA uncharacterized LOC102018816